rnacentral:rRNA from 1 species
CCUACGGGCGACAGCAGUGAGGAAUAUUGGUCAAUGGGCGCGAGCCUGAACCAGCCAAGUAGCGUGAAGGAUGACUGCCCUACGGGUUGUAAACUUCUUUUAUACAGGAAUAAAGUGAGUUACGUGUGCCUUUUUGCAUGUACUUUAUGAAUAAGGACCGGCUAAUUCCGUGCCAGCAGCCGCGGUAAUACGGAGGAUCCGAGCGUUAUCCGGAUUUAUUGGGUUUAAAGGGAGCGUAGAUGGGUUGUUAAGUCAGUUGUGAAAGUUUGCGGCUCAACCGGAGAAUUGCAGUGGAAACUGGCAUUCUUGAGUACGGGGGAGGUAGGCGGAAUUCGUGGUGUAGCGGUGAAAUGCUUAGAUAUCACGAAGAACUCCGAUUGCGAAGGCAGCUUACUAAACUGCAACUGACGCUGAUGCUCGAAAGUGUGGGUAUCAAACAGGAUUAGAUACCCGAGUAGUC